UGGCAGCACAUUUACUAAAAAAAAAAAAUUGGAACGAUACAGAGAAGAUUAGCAUGGCCCCUGUGUAAGGAUGAAUGCAAAUUUGUGAAACAUUCCAUAAAAAA
rnacentral:snRNA from 1 species